GUGAGUAUAAAUGCCCACAAGAUCCUUUGCACAGAUUCUAACAGAAGCUCUGCACAGAUCUCUUGAAGAAGUGAAACCCUGGUCUGUGAGUGUGCUGAGCUAAAUGCGAACCCGUAAUAACCGACAGCGCUAACAUGCUAAGAAGGUACACUGUUUACCAAAGCUAUCAUGGCAGUCUUUGACAUGACAACAUUAGCAUUAGAUAUUUGCUCAAAAACAUAAAUGAAAUGCUCAAAGAGUGCUGGAGGAAACGUCAGAGAUAGAAAAAGAUUUUUCGGUGUCGGCAAAAGCAGUUGGCAGAUGGGAAAUUACAAGUCCAAAUUAGAUUUAAUACGAAGUAUUAAAAGACAAAUACAUGCAUGGAGAAAAGCAGGAGAGUCAGAAGAAGAUUCAUUUGAGUAAUAUCAGUAGAUAAUAAAGUACGUUUUCAUUCUGGCAACAUUCACUCUGGCAUUGUUAAAGCAGUUCCCUGAAAACAAUUUUAUCAUAGGAUGGAGGCAGCUCAUCUAAUUCAGCUAGUUUAAGCCAUUUUUUAAAAGCUCUGGCAGAAUAGUAAAAAGGCUCAGAAGCAUUUGAGAAAAUUACCCACGAAGCAUUAUGCUGACGUGAUUUAUUACAACUCUAAAGCUAAGGUCUCUGCCAGAGCUACAUCAGUUCUGCUUUGUCAUCAAAUGGUCUCGUGCUUCAUUUCACUUACGCAACAUACACUUAGUAUUUAAUACAUAAAAAUGAUCUGAUAAGAUUUAAAACAAACUCCUUUUCAUGAUUUGUCACUGGACACAUUUAAGUCCCCUCUAAAUACUUACAGUGAGCUCCAGUGAGUUCAAAUUAAUUUAUGAACGCAUGAAACCUUCACCCUCUAUCUCCGUUUGUCCCUUAAUCACAAACACAUCAAUACGUGUAUUACCAUCUGUCACCUUCAUCCUCACUGAGGGAUUUGAAACUGCUGAGUGUGGUCUAAUCCCAAGCCCUCGUCUUAGUGAGGUAGCUACCGCACAACCAACUUGGCAUUUACAGGCUCUGCACCUAACACUCUUGUGGUCAGCGGCCUAACAAAUGCUCAAGGAGUGUUAGGAUGAUCUAAAUGCAGAGACAAAAAUUUCCCAAUUUCUGUGCAAUCAAAAGAAUAAUCUUCCCUAAGACAGCCUAAGGAAACAUAUUCGCAGCGCUGUAAGAUGGCUGACGCUGACGAAGCAGAGGGCAGCCAAGACCUGGAGGCUCCAGAGGAAGAAACUGAGGACGAACAACAAGUCUUGAUACGUUUCAGCAAACACAGCGAAGCUCGCCGUGCGCUGCCGUGGGAACAGUGGACCUCCAGCGAAAAGAGAAACUACUAUAUGGACCGCAUGUUCCUCGGGUUCCUUGUCAUUUUUGCCCUCAUGUUACUGGGAGAGUGUGCCUAUAAAGUGUGGUAUGUGACAAACGUGAAGCAGAUUGCAGAGUUUGUGUCAGAUUCAGUUGUCCUUCUGUUUACCUGGCUCUUCACACAGGAGAGACAGGAGGAGCUGGCUGAAUUGUAGGUGGCUCAAAGAGAGUGCUUCAACGUUUCAGGCACAUGUGGUAUAAAACAAAUCCUCAGCAAAGAAUCCAUUUGUUACUAAACUACAGACAAUGUGAUGAUAAUUGCAUUAUUUCUGAUUUCUUAUUUUGAAUCAAUGGAAAUAAAUUUUGUCUUGUUGCCCUGUCCCACAGUA